AUAAUUUCACCAGGAGAACAUGUUGGGGUAUGAGGACAGAAGCUGUGGAGCUCAAAGGUGCUCCUCACAAGAGCAGUGGACAAAGCAGCUACAGGAGAUGAGCAGAGAAGGCAGCAUGAAUGAGGACAGGCUGGUUCUCGUCAGAAACACUUGCUGGGCC
rnacentral:lncRNA from 1 species